rnacentral:rRNA from 1 species
AAAGACUUGACGGUGUUUCACAACAACCUAGAGGAGCCUGUCCAAUAACCGAUAACCCACGAUUAACCCGACCUGCCCUAGCCUAUCAGUCUAUAUACCGCCGUCGCCAGCUUACCUUGUGAAAGAAAUAAAGUAAACUCAACAGAUCCCCCCUAACACGACAGGUCGAGGUGUAACAAAUGGACAGGUAAAGAUGGGCUACAUUUUCUACAACAGAAAAUACGAAUAAACUAUGAAACUAAAAACUGAAGGCGGAUUUAGCAGUAUGUUAAGAACAAAAUACCUAACUGAAAUCAAUGCAAUGAAGCGCGUACACACCGCCCGUCAUCCCUG